UUUUUGUUUUCUCUGGUGGUGGAUAAAUAAUACUAAAAGGAGUCUAGUGAAAGGGACAAAAAAAAAUCAAAGAGCAGGGGGCUUGUGAAUUUCCAGGUACUUGGACUUUUUGUAGAAGGAGAGAGAAGAGGACUGAAGUUUGCCAGGAGGGCCCAUAUUUUUUCAGCUGAAGGAUAAAAUCUUUCUUUGCAGAGACAGUAUUUUGCUGAAUACUUUUUAUAAUGUGAUGAUUAUUAAAAAACAAAAAUUUUGGUCACUUCAAAGCUAGAAGGAGGAAUCAAAUAUCCUUUAAUAUUUUUUCCUUGCUCCUUCCGGUUUAUGCAUGCUACUGCAUGAUCAUCCGAGUUUUCCUUUGUUUUAAUAAAACUGUUCUCAGACAUUUAAGCUUAAACUAAGAGAAAAUAACUUUGUUGCCAAAAGGUUGUGCUAUCCAGAUUUUUUUAUAUGUCUGCAUGUUUUAAAAAACAACAAAAGAAAAUGCACUCUAACUUAUGUGAACUGAGAGAAAAAAAUCAGGAAAACCUAUGGGGAAUGAUAUUUUUUGAAAGACUUUUGUAUAAAGUUGAGUACUUAGAAAAAGACAAACCAGAUGUAAUAUAUUUUGUGGAUGUUUUUAUUUCUUGGAUUUAUAGUACCUUAUACUAAGGUUAAAAAAAUAUGCUUGAUAUUGUGAAAAGGUGAAAUUCUUCACCAAUAUUUCAUUUGCUCCUUUGUCACAUUGUUAUGCCAAUAUAAUAUAGUUAAUGAAAACAGCAUUUUUAAAACCGAAAUAUUGAAAUGGUGUAAUGUUGUACCAUUUGCACUGUGAGCAAAUGCUAAUACAGUAAAUAUAUUGUGUUUGCUGACAAUCAGCCGGCCUAUAAAUCUCCUUAUUUUAUUUCUUGUUUUCAUAGUAUAAAGUAUUGGUUUGGCCUGGUUUUUGUCUCGUUUUGUUUUUGGCUUAUGGUUGGUUUGGUAGGUUCCUAUGCCUGGCUUUCCUGUUCUUGCUCUAUAACUCAAUGUAAAACAAGGAAUUUGGCAUUGUUCGAAGUUGGUCAGAAUUUUGCACACUCUGGUGUUUCAAAUCCAGUGUCCAGUGUUUACUGUGGUUCUAGGAGAAAAGGAUUCUCCUCCACCCAUCUCAAACUGCCAGAGAGGUUAGGCAGAUCAGAUAAACUCAUGGGAAUCAGAACUAGUGACUGGAACCUUCUAGAACCCUUCUCCCUGGUUUCUAAUGGGUACUGAGGGUGGAAAGAGGGGACCGUCUGGUUUAUGAUCUCUCUCUCUGUCUCUCUCUACUUCUCUCUCUCUCUCUGUCUCUCUCUCUUUCUCAGUAACAGGGAGCAGCAGAACAGGACCCUGUAGAGUCGCUAUGGCCACACUGAGUAGUGCUCUUGCUAAAGCUUUUGAAGCCUGAAAAACAGGUGGAGACUUGACAGGGGUUCUCUAAGGUUGGCCAGAUAACCAGAGAGAUCGGAGUCUCUAUUGUGGUCAGAUAAUUGGGGAAAAUCAGAUUUAAAAAUUAUACAACUUCAAUCCCACUUGGACAAGACUCUCCAGGCCUCACUGUUUGUAGCUGCCUGAGAAAGAAGGUCUUGGCUGGAAAAGCUGCUCUUGUGAACUACACAGCAGUCCGGUGGGAUUUGGAGAACAUACAGGGAAUAUUUUAUAUAGCAUUAACCCCUCACAUCUUAUAAUGUCUGUCUCCCAUAAAAGUGAUCCUUCCUUUACUCGAUGAGCUUUCUUCCCCAGAACCUUCCCCUUUCAUAACUGAGUUUAUUUGCCAGUCCUAGAUCUUUCUCUGGUUCUCUUAAAGAGAUACAUGCCCUUCACUUUCUUCGUGGGUCCCCGUCUCCACCCUGCUCCCUCACCUUAUUUCCCAUUAGUCUUUAGAAUCCUCUGUCCUCCUCAGGCUUGUUCUAGAGCACUCUUUGGACAGAUCAGUCCUUUCUUUGCCCUUUCUUCCUACUUGCCCUCUAAAACACUCACUCACUUGGGCUUCUCUGUCAUGUAUUUCGCAUAUCAUCUGCCUCAGUGAAGCUUAGGGGUUCGGUGUCUGAUACUGGACUGUAUAAAUGUAGCACCACGUUGCAACUGGGGGACGGUGUCUCCAUGCCUGAAGAAACCAUACAGUGACAGGAACAUCUCUUGCUGACCCAGUCAGGCUCAUCACACUGAAAAAUGUGGGUGGUAUUUCUGGUUAACUGUAGUUUCCAAGAAGUUGAGGGCAGACCAGGGUGGAGGUGGUGGGCUGUGGCCUUAGAAAAGAAAAGAAUGUUUUUGAAGUAAGAGAUCAAUAAAGAGAAUGCAGUAUGGAAUCUUAAAUUUUCUCACCCACACAAUUCCAGGUCACUGGCUGCCAUCUUGAAUUCCUUUCUCUCACCUCAUGAAACUUCCAGAAUUCCAAGCUGCAAUUACAGCCACAAGGAGGUGUCAUUUGUUAACAAAAGACAUCCAAGAUGGCUGAAAAGUCCUAAUGAUUAAGCAUAUAAUCCACCUCUAUGCUAAACUAGAUAUUUCCUUUCCAGAUUUCUAUGUGUUUUUCAAAUGCAUCAGAGGGAGAUAGCGUCACUGGGUGUCUUCAUUAGCAUCCAGCCCCACCUGCACCCUCUCCAAUCACAUCAGGCCUUCAGAGUUACACUUUGUCACCAGUGUACUAUGCUGCAUGAUUAAUAAACUCACUUCCCAUUGGUGCAUAUUACUCAACACAACCUGGUUCAGCCACUGGGUUACUUGACAAUAUGGCAGCCCGCCUGGCUGGCACCAGCCCUGUAUGGUGUAAUCUCUGAUUCAUACUUUGUAGCUAGAUAAGACUGUCCCAGAUAGCAUCACACCAGCAACCCAACCUGCCUGGGUUUUGUAAAUAUGGGGAGAGGAAAAUCAACCCUCAAACUUAGGGAUGAAGUGGGAGAUGGCAGAGGGAAAGGCUUGGCUAUGGAGCUUUCAUGAGAAGGAAUCAAUGUAAGCUUUGCCUGAGAGUAAAAUCGAGCAUAAAAGUGUAGAAGAGGUAAAAGCACAACUCCUUCCAAAGUAACCUCUAAGGUGUUCAGGGGUGAAUGAAAAGACAUCUCUCUCUCUCUCUCUCUCUCUCUCUCUCUCUCUCUCUCUCUUUCUCUCACACGUACACAUACAUAUACACACCUCUGGAGUGGCUUACUGAAGACAACGACUUUGCAAAACCGUACCCAGCGAACUAGGCUGAUAUUUUGUGACAAGUGGGGGCAAAGAAUGGAGCAUGUUUUUAAAUGGUAGUGGCAGUAGUGAUGAGUGUGUAUAAAUGUGUGUCUAUGUAUUAUUCUCGAGUAUAUAAAAAGAAAUAGCAAGGUGGAUUCUGAUAAUAGCAAGGUGAUAGCUUAUGGCCAGUCCCUACUAAUCCGCUUUUACUAAUCCAGAAUUUGCCUGCCAUAGGUGAGGGGGUUGUGAGCUGCACUUUCUUGGCCUUGAUUGGCUCCCCUGGUGUCGUGGAAUAAUAAGCAUAGGGAAAGUAGGAGUCCUCUGUGUGUCCCAAAGACUAGAAGUCACACUGGCAAAAUCUUAAUGACUGGGGAAAAUGACUUUCUAAAAGGUGCCUUAGGGUUUUCAAAAUAGGUCAUAAUCUUAAAUCUGUCCCAAGUGGUCCGUUUUUAGAAAGCCCACUCUUUGUGCACAGGGAGGAAUGAGGUCUCAAGAGGAAGAGGAAAGAGUCAAGUGAAUCUCAGAGCCCCGUGCCCACACCAGACCCUGGGACACCACUGUGAACAGUCACUCCAUCAGUCUCCACAGAGGCCAGGAACAUGUCUGGUCUUGUCAGCUUCUUCCAGCAUCCCAGCUGUUGAAACUUCACCACUCAUUUUGCUUGAAGGUUCCUUUCUACCCCAUCUCUCAUAUUUUCAACAAUUGGUCAUUUUCACAGCCUCUGAAAGAACAAAGGUGGGCCAAGGUUGGGGGCAGUGUGAUGAGGCUUUCCCCACCUUGCACUAAAGUCUCUGACAUGCCCAUGCCCAGGCAGGAAGGGACGAGACCCUGACUCGUUGCCUAGGAUCCUCAUUCCCCAUCCUCAUCAUGGCUACUUCAUUGGGCUUCUGGAAUCGGGACAGUCCCUGCCACCACCUCUGCUGGCCACUGGGGGAACGGUGCUCAUCUGCCCACUGACCUGGGUGUGUAAACACUAUUUCUUCCCUUCUAGAAAACAUGCAUAUGGCUAGAAGAAAGGUUUCUGAGCAAUCUUACUAAGGAGCUAAUGCAAACAGAACAUAGCCAAAACCACAACCAAGAAGAAGUAGACAACAUGAGGUUCUAGACGGUGCUGGCUACUGAACAAAAAGUUCUCACUUCUAGGUUGGGUGGGAAUUUGGCCACUGUACGGUUUGUUUAAUGUUGCCUAGCCUGCAUCUUGGCCUUGUCUCCAGGAAGGCUCCUACACAUUCUCUUAGGACCAACACAUGGGGCUUUCCUGGUUUCCUGAUAUCUUACUCUGCUCUCACGGUCCUGUACAAAAGACAAAGGAAGUCACUCUCUGGGCCUUAUAAUGCUUCUCAUGGACCUUAAGCAACCCACCCUCUGGUUACAGUCUCCUCCUUCGUCCGUUCCUGGGUGCCUCUAAGAUUCUACAAGUGUCCCAUCCUGUCAUUGCCCCCAGUGAUGUUCUCUGGAUCCUGCUCAUUUUCCAUGGAGUGUGAUCACUAAUCCUUCAGGCUGGCCCUCCCUGUGAGGCCCACCCAGGGCCUGCGGCCAUCUUUACCUUGGGCCCUUCACAGAGGCAUCAUGACCUGACCAGAGACAGACUGCUCUUUUCUGACACAGUCAGCAGCUGACUUGAUUUCCUAUUUGAGUUACCCACUGAGUUCCUAGUUAUAUCUGAGGAAUGCUCCCACCCUUCAACUCCCUGGAGGAAAAGACAUCGCUGACACUACAGAGGCUGGGGACACCCCAACCCUCCACAGGGAAAGUUACCCUUGUCUGUGGACCUGUAUUCUCUGGGGUGGCUGCCCACCCAGAUACAUCAGAUCCCUGUCUCCACCAAAGAGAGCUUAGUGACCAGAACAGAACUGGGCCUCCAGGCACAUUGGCUUCUUCUCAAGCACACACUGCAAGAGCUCUCACACUUUCUACUCCUCAGUGUUUUGCUCCUCCAGUUUGUCUAGGUGCCUAAAGUUCUUCCAUUCCUCCUUGUUCCCUUCUCCUCACUGCUUAGGAAGGUCAGGCCAUCUGAGCAAGAAAGCAGAAAACUUCCAGCGCUGUAUGACCCAAGAGCACUAAGAAAAGUCUCCUUUGAGGCCCUUGUUCUUACCCAGGUCUCCAUCCCGAACAUUGAGAGGUGCUGUGAUAACCCAGCAGCUACUCAGCUUUUCCCUCAGGGCCCUGAGCCCGCUUUGGAAUCUCCACCUCCAUCUUAGAUCUGAAUCUCAACUCCGCCACUGGCUUACAGUGUGAGACAAGUUUCUUAGUCUCUCUCAACCUCAGUCUCCUCCUGUCUUAACUUUGCUGUUGUAGAGUCAAAUGAGGCAAUGUAUAUGAUGCCUGGUUCAUUGUGGGUGCUCCAUAAAUGUUACUUAUCUUCUUUGUCCCUUGCCCUGUCCCCUUUCCCCAUCCUCAAACACAGACGCAUGAAUGAAGGCUCUGUCUCCACCAGGGAUCUGUACACAAAUUCAAAUAUAGCCAAGGGAACCUUUAUGUCUUCACCACCCACCACCAACUCCAGCCCUCCACUGGACAUCUGUAUUCUGAAAAUGAAUCCUCUCAACCCCACCCCAAUCCGCUCAGAGGACACAAGUCCUGUUCACUCCCAGCCACAGCUGCUGUUCAUUGUUGCCACUUCCUGGCUGGCUCCUGACCCCAUCCCAGGUCCUCUUGUCUCUCUCAUUUAGAUGGGUGGAUGUAACACCUUCCUGAUGCAGUAUCAUCUGCAAAGUUAAUUAAUGUGUCAUUGGGCUGUUGCUUGCUUCCUGAUCCUUAUCAGGGAUUUAAAUAAAACACAGCAGCCCCAGUUCCUCCCAUCUGUCCCUCUCCCUGGAUCUGGGGCUUGUUCUUAGUCAUCCAUCCUUGACCUCAGCCUUCUGGCCAGUUCUCAGCUUCCAGCCCCAGGGCUGAUGGAACUGCCCCUGCCCAACCUUAGUUUGGGAGCAGAAGCACCAUCCAGGGCUUUAAUGACAAUGAUGUUCUAUGAGAGAAGCAUGGACAUCAGGGCCCUUACCUCGUCCCAUCCCCUUGGGUGGGUUCCCCUGCAUUUGUACAGUCACAAAGGACCUUAAGAGGCCACUGAGCCUAACACUCUCUUUUUCAGACUAAAAAAGAGAGAGAGGCCUCCAGAGGUUCUGUGACUUUCUCCAAGGUCGCAUCCAAUACAGGAAGAGUCAAGAUCUCAAGUCCAGACUAUCAGUGGGAGGUCCCAUGGAAAGCUGCUGAUUGCUUCAUUUAUUUAGUAAUUAUUUGUUCAGGGAUAUAGCAGUGAACAAAAAAUCCUUCCAUUCACAAAGCUUCCCUUCUCCAGGGCAGAAGCAGAGACCAGUGAUGAUUCCUAAACCCCGACUUGGCCAAGGAAAGAAAGAACUGCCUCCUUCAAGAAUCCCAGCCUGAAAACUUUUUCUCUUCCUGUUGACAUUUGCCUUACUGCCAGGUCCCCAAUAAGAUGGAUGUCUCUUCCCGCUGCCCAGUUGCAGAAUGGGACUCUCCCUUGGCCUCAUCUCUCAGAAGUCGCUCCUGUGAAGCCAGCUUCCUCCUUCAUCUGUGGCUGGGUUGGCCAUGUUUCCUGCCUUGGCAAAGAGCUGGUUGAUGGCCAGGUUCCUCCAAUAUGGUCACAGUCUCACCCCGACCCCAAGCCUUGAAUGUACAAGAUGGGACAUUCCCAAAACCACUUGAUCCACUGUGUACUUCACCAUGAGCUCCAUGUUCCUGGAUUACUGCAAAUCCUGGUGCUGUGGCAUUAUAGCUAUAGAUUUGUCUAGGCAAUUUCAUUUGCAAAAGAGAAAUUUCUUCCUUCCUCCUUU